rnacentral:rRNA from 1 species
GAUGAACGCUGGCGGCGUGCUUAACACAUGCAAGUCGAACGGGAAACCUUUUAAUGAAGCUUCGGCAGAUUUAGCUGGUUUCUAGUGGCGGACGGGUGAGUAACGCGUGGGUAACCUGCCUUAUACAGGGGGAUAACAGUCAGAAAUGUCUGCUAAUACCGCAUAAGCGCACAGGACCGCAUGGUCCGGUGUGAAAAACUCCGGUGGUAUAAGAUGGACCCGCGUUGGAUUAGCUUGUUGGUGGGGUAACGGCUCACCAAGGCGACGAUCCAUAGCCGGCCUGAGAGGGUGAACGGCCACAUUGGGACUGAGACACGGCCCAGACUCCUACGGGAGGCAGCAGUGGGGAAUAUUGCACAAUGGGGGAAACCCUGAUGCAGCGACGCCGCGUGAAGGAAGAAGUAUCUCGGUAUGUAAACUUCUAUCAGCAGGGAAGAUAGUGACGGUACCUGACUAAGAAGCCCCGGCUAACUACGUG